UUCAUCUUGUUUUGGGGGAAGACAGUUGGGAACAAGGGUCCAGAGGAGGGGAGAUGUCUUUCUGCACAACAAACAUAUGAAAUGGACACAAACGUCCAAAUGCUCUCAGCAGGUGACAGAAUGAUGCCGACAAGACCUCCUGAUCCGUCUUUUCAUGGGGACAGAAGAGAAGUAGAUGCUGUGGAACCAGAUCAGGGUCCAGUGUGCUUUGAAGAUGUCGCUGUUUGUUUC